rnacentral:rRNA from 1 species
CAGCCGCCGCGGUAAUACGGAGGAUGCGAGCGUUAUCCGGAUUUAUUGGGUUUAAAGGGAGCGCAGACGGGUUUUUAAGUCAGCUGUGAAAGUUUGGGGCUCAACCUUAAAAUUGCAGUUGAUACUGGAGACCUUGAGUGCAGUUGAGGCAGGCGGAAUUCGUGGUGUAGCGGUGAAAUGCUUAGAUAUCACGAAGAACUCCGAUUGCGAAGGCAGCUUGCUAAAGUGUAAUUGACGUUCAUGCUCGAAAGUGUGGGUAUCAAACAGGAUUAGAUACCCUGGUAGUCCACACGGUAAACGAUGGAUACUCGCUGUUGGCGAUAUACGGUCAGCGGCUUAGCGAAAGCGUUAAGUAUCCCACCUGGGGAGUACGCCGGCAACGGUGAAACUUAAAGGAAUUGGCGGG